CCAUAUUUUUACCAAGAAAACUCUAUGGAUCCACUGCAGAUGGAAGAGGGUCGUGCCGGGAGAUGCGUCCAUGGAGUCGCUAAGGGUCGGAGACCACUCGACAGCGUGAGACAGAGACGGAGAACAAGUUUUCAUCAGAGAGCUUCAGCACGAUAACACUGGCAGUUAUAGUUUCAUCAGCAUUUUCAACCCAAAUGGAAAUUUUCAAUUCCCCAUCUUGAAAUUGGUAACUUGGCAACGUGAACUCGGCCCAGCCACGCGUCCGAGAAAAUCAUCCAUCUUUUGAAUACGUCUGGAAUUCAGAGCCGCAAUAAAGAAUUUGAAAAUAGCAGGACGACGCAGACCAAUGACUUCAAACAACUUGAUGCCGUACUUGUAAAGCAAAUUUAUUGGACAACUAUCCUACACGCGGUCAACGACGCCGUCACAGUUACCGGCUCCGGCCAGAAGCCACGAAAGGAAAGGCGGGAGACCUGACGUGCGUCUCCCUAUACACUGCGUUCACCGAUCUACGUGACCGUCAUCGCAGAAGCCCAGACUACUGUUGGGUAGGGACGGCCUCUAUAUGUUGCAAACUUGUACUUCCCAAACGCUUAGUACAGUGCUCU